GGGGAGGGGUGGGACGCGCAAGGCUGUGGCCGCCCCUGCGCCACACUUCCGCCUGGCUUCCCAGAAGUUAGCCUGGCCCUCACCUCCACUGCAGACAAAAGCCUCCCCUCCUCAGGGUAGAGCGGGAAGCAGAGUGGCACAGGCAGGUAGGUGACCCCGAGGACCGUCCCUUCCUAGCAGGUGCUCGCCGCUGUCCACUUUUCUGUGUCCCGGAGUGCCCUGCCCUCUUCUGGCCCCAGUCCCCCAAGCCCUUCUCUUCAGGUCUCUGGGUCCCCUCCAACCAGACUCCUCCUGGGCUCCUACAGCCCUGCUGGGGUAGGAGGCUUGGUGGCACCUGGGCCCCUCUCCGACCACUCUCCACCUCUGGCCGGCAGGGCUCCUCUCGGGGCCUUGGACUGUUUGUCCUGCACCCUGAUCUCCUUUGGUGGCCGGUGCUGUCUGCCCUGAGAGCCCACUGGCAUGACCGCUAGGGAUCUGGACUCCCCUCCUCGGACUCUUGUGUAUCCCCACCAGGCUCUGCCCGAGUCACGGGCCUUCUGCCCGAAUGACCUGGUUGUUCCUCGGGAACAUCCGGUCAGCACCCAGGCGGGCAAAGGUAGGGGUGCAGCUACCACUACCCAGCUGGACGACCCCUCCUGGCCAUGGGACAGAAGCUUGGAUGCGAGAGCAGGUUUGCCCUGGAGCCACCUGGGGUGCAGCGCCUCUCACAGCCUCUGAUUGGAUAGUCCUAGGCAUUCAACAGGCUUUUCUCCUCCAGCGAAACUGGGAAUGACCCAGAGGAGUCUGCCAUACCCUGUCCAAAGCCUCCUAGCUCCUGCCUGCUGGCCGCACUUGGCCUCCUGCUCCAAAUGAGCCUGUGCCCACAUGGCUGUCCUUCAAAGGACCACAACAUAGCCUCUCUGAGAAGUACCCAGCUGAGAAAUUAGCCCCGGGCCCCAACAAAGUAAAAAAGCUGGAUCCUGGGGCCUGGGAGACUAGAGGGGUCGAGGGUGGCAGGUGAAGGCUUGGGAGGUGCUGGAGUAUGGGAGCAGUGCUGCAUGGGGCUCCCGGAGGGAGGCGCCAGGGGUUUCUCGAGGGCCCUGGGCACCCCGAAGGGCCCAAGUCCCACGGAGACGGCACUCUCCACUGGGCACAGCCCUACCCGCCAUGGCGAGCAUUGAGGCGCUCCAUGUACUGGGCCGCCACGUCCACGGCCUCGGCUUCCGGAAGCUGUAGAUUGCCGGACACGUUGCAGCGCAGGUCGUUCCAGUCUGAGCGCAGCAGCUCGAAGUCCACAGCGCCCACGCUGAAUGUGCGCUGCCAGUCGAUAGCAUCUUCUCGCCAGUGCCCGGGCACGCGGCCCGCGGCAUCCUCCUCGCUGUCCUCUGAGGCCACCUCGUCGCCAGGGGCCCGGUCCUCCUCCUCCCCCUCGCCCUCGGCGAGCAGCUGCGGCCGGGACACCUGGGACAAGCUCAGGAAGGAGGUCAUGGGCUGCGCGGCAGCCGAGGAGUUCACAUCCGGUGUGGGCGCGUGGGCCUGCGGGGCCCCGAGGGUGGACGGCGCGGGGGGCUCUGUGCCUGGGGGCCCGCGGGACCUGCGCCGGGGCCGAGGUGCACGCAGCUGCGCUCGUGGCACGGCGCGGGCACGCAGGAGGACGCCGGCCAGGGGAGGCCAGGCCGGGCCACGUGGGGACACCCGCGGUCGGGGCCGCACGCGCGUCACAUACACCUUGGCAGGAGGCUUCUCAGCGGCGCGCGGGGGUGGCGCGUGGCCCAGGAAGAGGGACAGGGGGCGCAUGGCCCAGCGCAGCGCGGGAGUGGCGGGACUGAGGGCCGUGGGAAGCUGAGAGCUCUGGCUCGCGCUCCGCCAGCGGUGGUGUGGGAGGCCUGCGUCCGCUCCGCGGUGGGCCCACCUCGGUGGGCUCCAGGCUGUCCAGCAGCUCCCCCUCGUCCUCUUCGUCCAGGAAGUCUGCAGGCAGCGGAGGUGAGCGGGCGGCCAGGGCCAGCGGGGCUGCGGGGCGGGGUGGGCGUGGGGAGGCUCACCCUCGGGGCUGAGGAACAAGAAGGCCCGGCGCUGCUGCUCCUCCUCCCCGUCCUCCCCUUCCUGCUUGUCCAUCUUCAUGUAUUUGUAGAAACCGAACCUGGAGCAGCAGAGCGUCAGAGCCGCCGUCCUGGUGAGGCCUCACCCCGUGCCCUCCGGCCCACCUACCUUUCCAGGUACCGGGGAGAUUCUCGGUAGAAGCACUUGUUCUCCGUCUCCAUGUGCGUGAGGCGGGUGUAGUCAUUGGGAUACACGAAGGACAGGUAUACCUGGGGGAGAGGCGAGGCGAGGGCUCAGGGCCUCCGGGGAACGAGGGGGUGCCUGGAGCACAGUGGGGCUCUGGUCUGGGCACGUACAAACUGCAGCCCCUGGUAUCUGGCGAUGGGGAAGUCCUUGAGAACGUAGGUAGGUGCGUAGGCACAGGGCUCCAGCACGCUCUCCAGGCUCCAGGGCUCUAUCCGGGGUGCUGUGGGCGGGGUCCUUGUCAAGGGCUGGGCCGGUCCGCCCCAGCCCAGCCCAGCCCGGCCUGGCCAGGCCCCUCCACUCCCUGGGGGCCGGCUCACUGAGGAAGAAGCUGUCCCUGGGGUCUGGGCGCAGCAUGUCUGCGCUGGACUCCUCCUUGGGCAGGUGGCCCCUGACAUGGCUGGCUGGAGACUGGGGCACGUGGGCCACAUGGUCCAUCUUCAGGGAGGACUCAUCUGUGGGCCCAAGGUUGAUCCAGGUCCUCCUUCCCGCCCAGCUGGGCCACCCCCAGAGCCGCUGCCUCCCCAGGUGCCCAGAGUACCUGUGUAAAGGGAGAUGUGAGCAGCGCUGAUGACUUCAAACUUCAGGCCCGGCAGAGAUCUUCCUGCAACUUCACCUACUCUCUGGCUUUGUACCGUCGGCUUCCUGAGGUCACUGGUGGCCUCAUAAGGGCUCCUCCCCAGCUCAUGGGUUUUCCUGGAAUGGACAUCCCACUGGCUUGUUCUCAGGACAGUCUGCACAGUCCAGCACCACCCCGCACUCCCCCACCUGGCCGCCGGACCCCUCGGGGGCUGGAAUUAAUAUGCUGCAUAUCCCACUCCCAAUUCUACUUUUCCACCUCCAGGCGGACUGUCACUCAUCAGCAAGGCUCUUCUGUGCCCCUUGCAGUGGGGACCACACUGUUGUGCCCUUGGGCGAGGUAGAAGCUGGAUGGGGAGGGGAGGCACUCACACCCACUUCCACAUGGUCUGAGCCCCGGUCAUCCUGCUUGUGAAGCAGUUCAAAGUAGUACCUCCGGGAGGCCAUGAGCCUAUGGAGAGAAGGCAAGGCUUGCCUUUCAUACAGAACAGAUGGACAGCCGGGACGGGCAGCAGCUCCCAGGCCUCCUGGCUAGUCGCUUGGGGACAGUGGUCUGGCCAGGAUGGUGCUGGUACAGUGUGUGACAGGGUACAGAGGCUGAGGAGAUGCCACUGGCCUUCUUCUCACAUGCUAACACACGUGUGCAUAUGCACACAAUUGCUGGUACACACGUGUCAGUCACACACACCAACACACAGGUGAAUACACACAUAUGCUUGUGUACACACCCUAGUCACACAUACCAACAUGUGCAUAUGAGUACUUGUGCAAACGCCAGUCAUUCACAUACACCAAGUGUGUAAACACAAGUGCUUAUACACACAAGUCAUACACCAACACACACACAAACAUGUGCUUGUAAACGCACCACUGACAUACCAACACAUGCAUAUACACGAGUGCUGGUACACACACCAGCAUGUGUGCAUACACAGAUCAAUGUUUGCAUAUACAUCACAGUCACAGACACCAACAUGUGUGCACAAAGUGCUUUACACAUAUCCUAGUCACACACACCACCACACACAUGCAUACACACAUGAAUGGUUAUACACAC
rnacentral:lncRNA from 1 species